AGCAGCCGCGGUAAUUCCAGCUCCAAUAGCGUAUAUUAAAGUUGUUGCAGUUAAAAAGCUCGUAGUUGAAUUUCGAGAUCAAAUUGUUGGUCGUGCCUUGGUACGUACUGGCAUUAUUGGUUUCUCCCUUCUGAAGAACCAUGAUGUCAUUAAUUUGGUGUCAUGGGGAAUCAGGACUGUUACUUUGAAAAAUUAGAGUGUUUAAAGCAGGCUCGCGCUUGAAUACAUUAGCAUGGAAUAAUGAAAUAGGACGUUUAAUUCUAUUUUGUUGGUUUCUAGGAUUGACGUAAUGAUUAAUAGGGAUAGUUGGGGGCAUUAGUAUUCAAUUGUCAGAGGUGAAAUUCUUGGAUUUAUUGAAGACUAACUACUGCGAAAGCAUUUGCCAAAGAUGUUUUCAUUAAUCAAGAACGAAAGUUAGGGGAUCGAAGACGAUCAGAUACCGUCGUAGUC
rnacentral:rRNA from 1 species